rnacentral:lncRNA from 1 species
AAUCAAGUAGCCGGCUUGCCUUGCGGAGGAUCCUGCUUCCCCCUCCUCCACCCCAUUUUUUUCCUUUCACCCAGUAAAACCCUGUUUAACUCACCCUUCAAACCGUCUGCGAGGCUACGUUUUCGUGGCCACGGGACGGACAAGGACCCCAUCUUUAGCUGAACUACGGAAAAGCCCUGCAACACCACCAUCUCAUCGCUGACUUGGAAAUAAGCUAGCAGUGGCUGUGUCAGCAAGACCACCACAUGCAGCAAGGGUGGCCACUUCCAGCUAGCUCCUGCAUCCACAGCUGCCUCGCCCCUAUUGGCUACUGCCAUCCAUGUAACAGACUCUUGGGAAAUAUGCUCGGCUGAAAAACUGCAUUUCCCAACUCAAGACCUAAGAGGUGGUCAGGAGAUACAAGCAGGAGUCCUUGGAUGAGGUAAUGAGAAAAGUCAUCAUGCUCUAGUCCUUCCUCUUUCUUGCCUCUUGCAAAUGGAAUGACUGGAACACAGCAGCCAUCUUGAGAUGCUGAGAAUGGAAACCACACAUUAAAAAUAGAAAGAGGGCCAGGCAUGGUGACUCACACCUGUAGUCCCAGCACUUUGGGAGGCUGAGGCAGGCGGAUCCCUUGAGCCUAGAAGUUUGAGACCAGCCUGGGAAACAUGGGAGAUCUCAUCUCUACUACAAAUACAAAUACAAAAAAAAAAAAAAAAAUUAGCUGGGUUUGGCGGCAUGUACCUGUAUAGUCCCAGCUACUCGGGAGGCUGAAGUAGGAGAAUCACCUGAGCCGGGGAGGUCAAGGUUGCAGUGAGCUGUGAUUGCACCACUGCACUCCAGCCUGGGUGACAGGAGUCAGAACUUGUCAAAAAAAAAAAAAAAAAAAAAAAAAAAGAUGGAAGGGCCUGGGUUCCUGUUGACAUCAGGGAGCCACCUUACCGGGCCUGGGUUGCUUUUCUCCAGAUAUUUUUAUUUUUAAUGAGAGAAGGAAAUAAACUUUUUCUUUUUGAACUGCUUAUUUGACUGUAGCUGUAAAUACAAAGCUCUAGAAUCUCUGUGGUAAUGACUUUUAAAAGCCAUCAAGUAUAAGCCCUGCACCAUGUCAAUGAGAGAUAAAGGGAAGCAACAAGAAAGGGAAAGGAGAGGGAAAGAGAACGAAACAGAGACAGUGCUUGAUCCAGGGCCAGACCACCUGAGUUUGGACCCUAGUCUAUCACCUCCCUACUAACUGACCCUGGGCAAACUACCUAAGCUUCACAGCACCCUCGGUUCUCUAACCUACAACAUGGGGAUGCCAAUGGCAGUGACCUCAGUGUAUGGUGAGAGUUCCAUCUGUUACCAUGUGUCUGUCUCGCGGUAAACAUUCAACGGCAGUCAGGUGCUCUCCCGCUUUGAGGCUGCCUGGCAGCAGGCUCCUGUCUCCUAGGGUUGACCGUUUUCUUUGGAGUAGACUUUCACUCUAUCGGAAAGCUGUUCCUCGGGAUGAAUAAACACUGCAUUCCCAUCACUUUUGGGGCCUGUCUAGAUCUGUUUCCCAGAGCCAUCAUGUGCAAGACUAAUUUCGCUCUCCAUAUGAAAAGUCUUCAAGUAUUUGAAGACUGGCUGGCCAUCCUGCACACCCUGAAUCUUCACUCCUCUGGCUGCGCAUCUGGAGUGACGGAGCCCCUCCCUCGCUGUGCUUCAGCUUGUUCCUUCCCUUCUUCAGUGGGACUCCAAGGAACGAAGGUCAUAUUGCAAGUACACUUCUGUUUUUGUGGCCAUCCUCUGAUACAACCAUGUUCGGCAGGAGUCACUUGGCAACUUUCAGCUGGUGGAUGGACUGAUCUGGAGGAUCUGAGAUUGUUUCACUCACAUGCCCAGUGCCUUGCAAGGCUGGCUGAAGGGCUGGGAUCAGUGGGGCCUGGGAGGCAGAGAGCUCACCUACAGCGUCUCCAGCGUGGCAACCCCAGGGCAUCAGAACUUCUCACGUGGCACCUCAGGACUCCAGGAGCGACUGCUGCCACAAUCCAGGAGGCACUGUAUGGCCUCUGUGACUUGGCCUCAGAAGUCACACCAUGUCACAACCUUUGCACUUUGUUGGCCGAGGCAGUCACAAGGCUGCCCAGAUUCAAGGAGAGGAGACAUAGACUCUACCUCUUAGAUGGAAGAGGCAUCAAAGAAUUUGCAGCCAUUUUUAAAACAGCCAGUUUUCUUUGACUGCAUGCUUUUAUUUUCCCCUGUAAUCAUUCUCAGAGUGAGAUCUCUAUAUAGUAGGUGCUGUCAAAUGACACGGGGGAGUGUCUUUCUCAGGUCUCUUACUGGGAGGUACAGCACUGGUGUAGAUGGGUCUUUCCUCCCUGCUGUGUGUAGAAGGCUGUCACCUGGGCUGCACCAUUCUGGAUGCCACACUAUUACUGACCCAGUCUAAGACAUGAUUAACCCCUUUGGAGACAAUGUAACAUUGCCGACCCACAUCAAGCUCACUGUAUACUACAGUCUCAGCUCUUCUUCUUGCUUGCUUGGAAGUACCUGCCCUACCUGUCAGCUGCUAGUGACCCCCGACCCAUGAACAGUCCAUACCACAGUCUUCUCAUGCUCAACACCAAGCUCAUUUGAUUUCAGUUGGUACAUUUUUGUUCUUCCUCUUUAUGAGGUUCCUCAAAUCCAGGCCUGGGGAAGGCAUCUCUCUGCUGCUCCAUGACCGUCCAUGAGUCAUGGAGAGUGGCCCUGUGAUCUCAGAGGGGUUUUCAAAACCAGAGUGUGUUUGCCAACAAAAAUGAUCAACAUUGAUUGGAGGGCUGGAGAAGGAGUUAUAGAGUCUGGAAAGUGAGCCAGCUAAAUCUUCAUCUUCGAAAAUGGAGAGGUUGUAGAUAAUGUCUGAAGUUGACAGAGCAAGGAAGGACAUUCUAUAAACAUAUUACUGUAUUUGGAGUUAUGCAGGUAGCCACUGAAAAACUAAGAACAGAAAUGCUUCAAACUGGUUGCCUCUGGAAAGAGAGCUGGGAGGAAGAGUGGGCUGGGAGAGACCAGCUCUCCUCAUGCUUAGCCGUGCAGUGCAAUGUAGUAUUUUACCUUGUGCAUGGAUUUUGUAAUAAGAAAUAGCGAUGUGCAUUUGGAUAUUAAAAACAUUACACAACAAUUUAGAGUGAGGCGUGCCAUUUAAAAGGUCUGAUUAGAGGUUGCGGUUUGUCAUUACAUUUUAUAGAGGGUUGUCUUCUUGCUUUGGGUUUAAGCUCUGUUUUCAUUAUUUUAAUUUGUUUUUUAGAAAAUCACAAAAUUGGGACAAAACCAGGAGAGAGUUGAAGACAAUGGGGGAAGGGGGAGAAAAGCUCCCCAGUGAAUUCAGCUGCCCUUUCUGUACCACUCUAUGUACUUUGAUUUUAUGUCCUUCUGGAAAAAUUAAAUUGGAACUCCCUUUAUCACUUCUUCAUUUCAUUUUUUUUCCGUUGUAAAAAGGGCAAGAGCUUAAUGUGCCACAGAGUAAAGCUGCAGGGGCAGCUGGGCACACAUGGGCAGAUGCCCGAGGCUCUGGGCAGCUGGCUGGGUCUUCCACUCAGUUUCCAAAGUACGCAGUCGUGGCAGCAGCUGGAACCUGGCAGGCAGGUGACAGGAAGACAAGCUAAGGGGGUGCAUAUGGCAUUUCUGUCGGGUUUAAUGUUUUAACAAGUCAGAGGAAUACUUAAAUAUCAAAACGAAGUAUCCCUGCAGUAAAUAUUUAUCCUUUAACCAUAAAAAUAUCCUUUUAUACCCUUUGAGAAUUGAGAGGAGAGGAGAGGAGAGGAGAGGAGGGGAGGGGAGGGGAGGGGAGGGGAGAAGAAUGGAGAGGAGGGGAGGGGAUAGAAGAGGGGAGGGGAGGGGAGUGGAGGGGAGGAAAGGGGAGAGGAGGGGAGGGGAGUGGAGGGGAGGAAAGGGGAGAGGAGGGGAGGGGAGUGGAGGGGAGGAAAGGGGAGAGGAGGGAAGGGGAGAGGAAUGGAGAGGAGAGGAGGGGAGGGGAGGGGAGGGGAGGGGAGGGGAGGAGAGAGAUUCUUCAGAGGUUGAUCCAAGCUACUGAAAGGGUUGUUCAUUCACUGGCAGCACUGGCCUCACCCGGGAGCUUGUUAGAAAUGUAACAUCUUCCUGUUCCCCUAAGUGGCCUGACAAUCUGUGGAAAUGUGAACUCAGGCAAAUCGAGAGGUUCAAAUCUUCGUGUUCAUUGAAGAACACCUGUGAAACUGCUCAGGCCGUCAGGGUAUGCAUAUAUCAAGAGCCACCCAGUAUCUGAAAGAUGUCACUUGACAGAGACAGUGUGUACCAUUCUGACGUUACAAAGGUGGAGUUGGUAGGUGCGUCCAGGCCAAACAGUGGGACUGGACACAGGGUCAGUGGCCCAAAAAGAGUGCUGAAUGUUUGCUGCACAUGCUUAAAAAUGCAGAGUCAUGCUGAACGUAAGGGUUUACAUGUAGAUUCUCUGGUCAUUGAGCAUAGCCAGGUGAACAAAGUACCCAAGAUGUGUGGCCAGACUCACAGAGCUCAGGGUCAGGUUAACCCAUGUGUGAGCUCUGCCUGCCACAGUGAGAUGAGCCUUAUUGAAAAGGAACAAAUUGUUCCUAAACCAGAAGAGGCUGCGCAGAAGAAAAAGAUAGCCCAGAAGAAACUGAAGAAAUGGAAACUUACGGCACAGGAAUAGACUCAUCCAACAAUAAAUGGAAUUAAAAGUACAGGAAGGAAGGAAGGAAAGAAAGAAGGAAGGAAGGAAGGACAGAAAGAAGGAAGGAAGAAAGGACGGAAGGAAGGAAGGAAAAAAGAAGGAAGGAAGAAAAGGAAAGAAAAGAAAAGAAAAGAAAAUGUAGCAUCUCAGGCUCCCCAUCCCAUGGCCUCCUGCUCCUAAUCUGCAUUUUAACAAGAAGCUCAGGGGAUUCAUGUGCACAGCAGUUUGAGAGGUGCUAUUCUAAGGUAUAGAUGAGGAAUUCUUAGUCAAGAAAGUGCAAGCUUGUGGUUCUCAGCUUUAGCUUAGAAGCAUGUGGGGCACCUGAAAAAUACUGAUGACUGGGUCCCACCCUAGAAUAAUUAAAACAACCUCUGGGGGCGGAGCCUAGGCAUGGAUGUGUUUUCAAAGCACCCAGGUCAUCUCAAUGUGCGGCCAAGGCAGAAAAUAUAGGGUAAGUGAUGCUUAGAGCUGCUGAGCACAUUCUGUGGCAACACCCAGGUGGAGACCCUGUCUCCUUCAUGCGCUGCCUCCUCUGCGCUUGGCGACGUGAAGGAAAACUGUCAUACACAGGCUCGCAUCGAAUCCCACAACUAUUCACAAGAUGGUCUAAGUGGGGUGUCUAAUCUUUUGGCUUCCCUGAGCCACACUGAAACAAGAAGAAUCAUCUUGGACCACACAUAAAAUAUACAAACACUAAAGAUAGCUGAUAAGCUGAAGAAAAAAAACUGCAAAAAAAAAAGUCAUAAUGUUUUAAGAAAGUUUACAAAUUUGUGUUGAGCCACAUUCAAAGCCACCUUGGGCCCAUGGGCCAUGGGUUUCACAAACUUGGUCUAAGACUUCAUCCUUGAGUUAGAGUAAGCCUCUUGUCACUGGAGAAAUACCUUACUGCUGUAAACUACAUGAAACACUCAUGCAUAUUACAAAGUGGAAUAUUAAAAUCUGCUGCCCUAAGACAUUGAACAGCUUCAGUGUUAUCCAGCAAUGCUUUACUCAAAUGUGGAUGGAGAGUUUAACUAAAAGGAAAGCAUGGACACUGGGAAACCAAUCAAUCAGAUUUCCUAUUUUCAUAACUGAGAGACAAAAUAAAAUAAGGGUCGACAGAAGGUGCACGUGUUUGCAAUACUUUUGCGAGAGCCCAUUGCCACAGCCAAAUGUUAGCCUCUUGAGGCAUAAAUUAAUUUACCACAAAUGCAUGCCUGGUUGCGUCUGGAUUCUGCUAGGGCGAGCAGUAUGUGUUAGACUUUUGGACAACAGCUUAAAGAAUGACAUUUCUCCAACUUGCUGUGAUUUUUAUCCUCGAGCAGAAUGUUUUUCUUGGAAUGGGUUUCUGGGAGGGUUUGCGGACAUAAUUCUGGUUAUGUGUGCGGGCCCUGAAGGGUGCUUUUAUGAAUUUAGAGCAGCAGCUGUCCAGGCAGAGGGAUGCUCUUUACCCAGAGUGUGUGUGCCCCAGUAAACAUAUGAAUGGCUUUCAUGGAGCUCUCCAGACACGUGGCUUGCGCCCCCUGUGCCCGGCCUUACCUGGUACUGCUGCCCGGUGCAGAGGAUGAGGUGGUCGUAGGGCACGAUCUCGUCCGUGGAAAGCACAACGUGCUUGGCUGCUCGGUCUAUGCCGGUCAUUCUACCCACCACGACAUUAACCCAGGAGCACAGUGACAUCAGUGCAUAAUCUUUAUCAUUAAAACAGUGGCUGCAAAGAGAGAAGCUCCGUAAGUGACAUCUGAGCAGCUGACAGCGGGCAUUAAUUAGACAUCUGGUGAGCUGGUUCAAGUCCCCUAGUGGGCUGAGUCCGUGCUCUUGCUGUGAGUUUACCAGGACUGAUACUAGGAGAUUUUUCGUUAUGAAACACUUAGUUACAAAUUGACAUCUUCCCAUUAAAGCUAAAUUGUUCCACCUGGCUUAGGUCAGCCCACAACUGGGAGGGUGGGAGGGGUGUGUGUGUGUGUGUGUGUUUAUCUGUAUGUGUGUGUGUGUGAAAUCACUCAUACUAUACCUUUCUUCUGCUUCUACUUCAGAGUGGUUGUAAAUUUACUUUAGCUGUUAAAUUGGUGUAUUGACCACAGCCUCAAUGGGAAUGAGAAGGAAGAAAGUGACAUUGUUGAGGAUUCCCAAAGCCAGGGGUCAGAAUCUUUGAAUACCGAGAACCCUUCCUAUUCGCUAAUACUUUUCAGUAAUCACUCAUUCUGAGAAUUAGCGUAUGGCUUCCUGCCAAAACAACAAAACCCAUUUUACUUCAAGAAUAUAGCAAUUAGGGAGUUAGGUUCGCAGCAAGUACACUCCCUGGAGACUUUGGGAUUCACCCUUCAGGGCAGAGGUGAUUUUCUAGGAACGGAGACUUCGACCGCCAGCAGGCCCAGGGCGGCCAUUCAUGCCAUGGCUUCAGCGUGCUGUGGCUGCACUGGCUUCCAUUUUCUGGGCUCUCUUGGAGUUUGAGCGCUUUCACGUAGUAUGAUAAGAGUGGGUUUCUUGUGGCUUUGGGUUUAUUUAAACAGUUUUGUGAGGGUUGUUUCCAGAAUUUUCUGAAAGGAUUGACCUCAGGUAAACCACCUUUUAGUGAUUCUGUUCUGAAUACUGAGAGUCUAAGGUAAUAGGACAUUAAGUGCUUCUUUUAAUUUAGGCUGUAUGAUUCUUUUCUUCCUUUUUUCUCUUAACAUAAAAACACUAACAUUUUUAUUUAUUCAUCUAUUUAUUAUUUAUUUUUAGAAACAGGAUCUCACUAUGUUGCCCAAGCUGGUCUCAAACUCCUGAGCUCAAGUGAUCCUCCUGCCUCAGCCUCCUGAGUAGCUGGGACUGGAGGCACGCGCCACUUCUAUGCUUGGCAGCACAGUCCUCUUCAAAAAGAACCCUGCCAUGGUCUGUGCUGCUGACAAGCCUGGACUCUGCAUCCUCCUGCUGUCUUCAGUUUCCUCACCUCUUAACACAGGGUGGAACUGAAGCAAGUAAUUUGCGAAGACCAUUGAUAUAGUUUGGCUCUGUGUCCCCACUCAAAUCUCAUCGUGUAGCUCCCAUAAUUCCCACGUGUUGUGGGAGGGACCUGGUGAGAGGUAACCGAAUCAUGGGAACAGGUCUUUCCUAUGCUGUUCUCAUGAUAGUGAGUAAGUCUCACCAGAUCUGAUGGUUUUAAAAAUAGGAGUUUCCCUGCACAAGCUCUCUCUUUGCCUGCUGCCAUCCAUAUAAGACGUGACUUGUUCCUCUUUGCCUUCCACCAUGAUUGUGAGGCCUCCCCAGCCACGUGGAACUGAAAGUCCAUUAAACGUCUUUCUUUUGUAAAUUGCCCAGUCUUGGGUAUGCUUAUGUUUAUCAGCAGCAUGAGAAUGGACUAAUACAGUAAAUUGGUACCAGUAGAGUGGGGCGCUGCUGAAAAGAUACCCAAAAAUGCAGAAGCGACUUUGGAACUGGGUAACAGGCAGAGGUUGGAACAGUUUGGAGGGCUCAGAAGAAGAUGAGAAAAUGUGGGAAAGUUUGGAACUCCCUAGAGACUUGUUGAAUGGCUUUGGCCAAAAUGCUGAUAGCGAUAUGGACAAUAAAGUCCAGGCUGAGGUGGUCUCAGAUGGAAAUGAGGAACUUGUUGGGAACUGGAGUAAAGGUGGCACUUGUUAUGUUUUAGCAAAGAGAUUGGUGGCAUUUUGCCCCUGCCCUAGAGAUUUGUGGAACUUUGAACUUGAGAGAGAUAAUUUAGGGUAUCUGGCAGAAGAAAUUUCUAAGCAGCAAAGCAUUCAAGAGGUGAUGUGUGUGCUGUUAAAGGCAUUCAGUUUUAUAAGGGAAGCAGAGCAUAAAAGUUUGGAAAAUUUGCAGCUUGACAAUGCAAUAGAAAAGAAAAUCCCAUUUUCUGAGGAGAAGUUCAAGCCAGCUGCAGAAAUGUGCAUAAGUAACAAGGAGCCGAAUGUUAAUCCCCAAGACAAUGGAAAAAAUGUCUCCAGGGCAUGUCAGAGACAGCAGCCCCUCCCAUCAUAGGCCUGGAGGCCCAGGAGGAAAAAGUGGUUUUGUGGGUUGAGCCCAGGGUCCCCAUGCUGGGUGCAGUGUAGGGACUUGGUGCCCUGCAUUCCAGACACUCCAGCCAUGGCUGAAAGAGGCUAAUGUAGAGCUCAGGCUAUGGCUUCAGUGGAUACAAGCCUCAAACCUUGGCAGCCUCCAUGUGGUGUUGAACCUGUGAGUACACAGAAGUCAAGAAUUGAGGUUUGAGAACCUCCACUUAGAUGUCGGAGGAUGUAUGGAUAUGCCUGGAUGUCCAGGCAGAAGUUUGCCGCAGGGGCAGGGCUCUCAUGGAAAACUUCUGCUAGGGCAGUGUGGAAGGGAAAUGUGGAGUCAGGGCGCCCACACAGAGUCCCUACUGGGGCACUUCUAGUGGAGCUGUGAGAAGAGGGCCACCCUCCUCCAGACCCCAGAAUGGUAGAUCUACCAGCAGCUUGCACUGUAUGUCUGGAAAAGCCACAGUCACUCAAUGCCAGCCCAUGAAAACAGCCAGGAGGGAGGCUGUACCCUGCAAAGCCACAGGGGUGGAGCUGCCCAAGACCAUAGGAACCCACCUCUUGCAUCAGCAUGACCUGGAUAUGAGACAUGGAGCCAAAGGAGAUCAUUUUGAAGCUUUAGGAUUUGACUGCCCCACUGGAUUUCGGACUUGCAUGGAGCCUGUAACCCCUUUGUUUUGGCCAAUUUCUCCAAUUUGGAAUGGCUGUAUUUACCCAAUGCCUGUACCCCCACUGUAUCUAGGAGGUAGCUAACUUGCUUUUGAUUUUACAUGGUCAUAGGCAGAAGGGACUUGCCCUGUCUCAGAUGAGACUUUAGGCUGUGGACUUUUGAGUUAAUGCUAUAAUGAUUUAAGACUUUGGGGGGCCAGGCAUGGUGGCUCAUACCUGUAAUCCCAGCACUUUGGGAGGCCGAGGCAGGUGGAUCACGUGAGGUCAGGAGUUUGAGACCAGCCUGACCAACAUGGUGAAACCCUGUCUCCACUAAAAAUACAAAAUUAGCCAGGUGUGGUGGCACAUGCCUGUAAUCCCAGCUACUUGGCAGGCUGAGGCAGAAGAAUCACUUGAACUGGGGAGGUGGAGGUUGCAGUGAGUCAAGAUCACACCAUUGCACUCCAGCCUGGGCAACAAGAGUGAAACUCCAUCUCAAAAAAAAGAAAAAAAAAAAGACUUGGGGGACUGUUGAGAAGGCAUGAUGGGUUUUGAAAUGUGAAGGCAUAAGAUUUGGGAGGGGCCAGGGGCAGAAUGAUAUGGUUUGGCUCUGUGUCUCCACCCAAAUCUCAUCUUGUAGCUCCCAUAAUUCCCAUGUGUUGUGGGAGGGACCUGUUGGGAGGUAAUUGAAUCAUGGGAGCAGGUCUUUCCCAUGCUGUUCUUGUGAUAGUGAAUUAGUCUCACGAGAUCUGAUGGUUUUAAAAAUAGGAAUUUCCCUGCACGAGCUCUCUCUUUGCCUGCUGCCGUCCAUGUAAGACAUGAGUUGUUCCUCCUUGCCUUCCACCAUGAUUGUGAGGCCUCCCCAGCCAUGUGGAACUGUAAGUCCAUUAAACCUCUUUCUUUUGUAAAUGGCCCAGUCUCAGGUAUGUCUUUAUCAGCAGCGUGAGAACAGACUAAUACAACCAUAUAGCUAGUAAGUCUGGAGGCAGGGUUUGAACCCAGGAUGCCUGGCUCCAGCAUCCUCUCACCUUACCUCUGCCUGUACUGUCCUGUAGAUCUCAAAUUGUUCAGAGGGAUCCAAAGGUCAUCUAAUUCCCAUUGGCUGACAUUAGCUUUAUUACAUUCAGAUACACACAGUUACUCAAAUCAGGAUACCAAAAAGUGUCAUCUGCGAGGAAAUUCUAGAGGAUUCCUUUUUAAGAGCAAAACUGCUUUAUAUUUGCAUCAGGCUUUCCAGAGCCCAAGGCACAUUCAUAGGCAUUCACAUAGAGAUUAAUCUUCUACACAAUUUAUGCUAGGGAUAGGGAAGAGACCGGUUUUUCUGAUCCACAUUUCAUAGGUAAGAAAAUCAAGGUUGGAAAUGGUAAGUAAUUUGUUCAAGGUUACAAAGCUCAUAAGCAGUGCCAGCUAUGAAAGAAAGCCAGGCCUGCUGGCCCUAGGCAGCGCCCUGCUCCAGGCACCCACAAUACUCCCUCUAACUAGUCCUACAGGUAAAGUGCACCUAAGUAGAGACUUCUGAAGAACUCACAUGCUCAAGGCUCACUCCGUGUUUGCCCAUCAGGAUUUAAGAUGCUCUUGCUGCAAAUCCACCCCCUGGUUAAAGUCAGUAAAAUUUCAUGGGUGAGCUGAUCUUUUCAUAGGGUUCAUGCUGAUGAGAUUUUUUUUUCUAAAAUCUCUUCUUAG